rnacentral:rRNA from 1 species
GGAUUCCCCUAGUAACUGCGAGUGAAGCGGGAAAAGCUCAAAUUUAAAAUCUGGCGGUCUCCGGCCGUCCGAGUUGUAAUCUAGAGAAGUGUUAUCCGCGCUGGACCGUGUACAAGUCUCCUGGAAUGGAGCGUCAUAGAGGGUGAGAAUCCCGUCUUUGACACGGACUGCCAGGGCUUUGUGAUGCGCUCUCAAAGAGUCGAGUUGUUUGGGAAUGCAGCUCAAAAUGGGUGGUAAAUUCCAUCUAAAGCUAAAUAUUGGCGAGAGACCGAUAGCGAACAAGUACCGUGAGGGAAAGAUGAAAAGAACUUUGGAAAGAGAGUUAAACAGUACGUGAAAUUGCUGAAAGGGAAACGCUUGAAGUCAGUCGCGUUGGCCGGGGAUCAACCUUGCUUUUGCUGGGCGUACUUUCUGGUUGACGGGUCAGCAUCAAUUUUGACCGUUGGAUAAAGUCUAGGGGAAUGUGGCAUCUUCGGAUGUGUUAUAGCCCUUGGUCGCAUACAACGGUUGGGAUUGAGGAACUCAGCACGCCGCAAGGCCGGGUACUUGUACCACGUUCGUGCUUAGGAUGCUGGCAUAAUGGCUUUAAUCGACCCGUCUUGAAACACGGACCAAGGAGUCUAACAUGCCUGCGAGUGUUUGGGUGGAAAACUCGGACGCGUAAUGAAAGUGAAAGUUGAGAUCCCUGUCGCGGGGAGCAUCGACGCCCGGACCAGACCUUUUGUGACGGAUCCGCGGUAGAGCAUGUAUGUUGGGACCCGAAAGAUGGUGAACUAUGCCUGAAUAGGGUGAAGCCAGAGGAAACUCUGGUGGAGGCUCGUAGCGAUUCUGACGUGCAAAUCGAUCGUCAAAUUUGGGUAUAGGGGCGAAAGACUAAUCGA